UACGUAGGGGGCUAGCGUUGUUCCGGAAUCAUUGGGCGUAAAGGAGCGACGUAGGCGGCUAGAUAAGUCCGGUGUGAAAGUCACAAGGCUCCAACCUGUGAAUGCCGCUGGAAACUGUCUGGCUAGAGUCCGGAAGAGGCGGAGUGGAAUUCCGUGGUGUAGCGGUGAAAUGCGCAGAUAUCGGGAGGAACGACCAAUGGCGAAGG
rnacentral:rRNA from 1 species